UGCGAAGCGAAGCAGCGAUGUGAAGCAAAUCGCACCAAAGCCGGUCCCAGUUCGGAUAAGAGGCUGAAACUCGCCUCUUUGAAGUCGGAAUCACUAGUAAUCGCAGAUCAGCAUGUUGCGGUGAAUACGUUUCCUGGUCUUGUACACACCGCCCGUCAAACCAUGAGAGUCGCCAACACCCGAAGUCCGCUUUGCGGCCUAAGGUGGGGGAGAUGAUUGGGGUUAAGUCGUAACAAGGUAUC
rnacentral:rRNA from 1 species